rnacentral:ncRNA from 1 species
GAUACGGAGAGUUUGAUCCUGGCUCAGAAUGAACGCUGGCGGCGUGCCUAACACAUGCAAGUCGAACGAGAAAGUUUCUUCGGAAACUAGUAAAGUGGCGAACGGGUGAGUAACACGUGAGAAUCUACCUUUUAGUGGAGAAUACCCUCGAGAAAUCGAGGCUAAUACUGCAUAAGCCCUGCGGGGGAAAGACGGCCUCUUUGCUGUCGCUGAAAGAUGAGCUUGCGGACUAUUAGCUAGUUGGUAGGGUAAUGGCCUACCAAGGCGAUGAUGGUUAGCCGACCUGAGAGGGUGACCGGCCACACUGGAACUGACACACGGCCCAGACUCCUACGGGAGGCAGCAGUGGGGAAUAUUGCACAAUGGGCGAAAGCCUGAUGCAGCGACGCCGCGUGGAGGAUGA